UCUGUGAUUCUGUGAUUCUGUGAAAGGUGGGCUAAAUGGUACUGUCCACCUGAUUGAUUUAACAACAAAAUAGUAUUUCUUGUUAAGUUCCAAAGGCAUUAGUGUGUAUUGUCAAAGUUUUGUUCUUUCAGCUGCAGCUCCUGCAAGUACAUUGAACUUCUCUUUGGCAAAAGAUGAAUCUGUGUUUUGCCAGGUGAUGGAAAUACCUUCUCAAUUUGGAGAUUCAGAUCUCUCAAUCCCUUUCCAAAACACAUCCAAUAGAGUCAUUAGUUAGUCUUGAUUUCUUUUUCUCCCAGAAGUUAAUGUGUUUAAGGCUUUGAGUUGUUCCUCAACAACAAAUAUCUCAAAGCCAUUAAUGAAGCAUGGGAUUCUCAUUUUCUAUUACAGUUUUCCACAAGCGUACAUAACCAUUAGAUCAUUCAAUUAACAAACAGGACUAGCAAUCUGGAUAUCACUUUUUUCCUCAAACUGCCAAGGAUGUGAUGUGUGACUUUGGUCACAUCAUGCAGGUGACUUCUUCUAACACGGCCUUGGAUUUCAGGAUGGGUGGUGGUUGUUUGUUGUUUUUUUUUUGUUUUUUGAACUUGAUACCCCUUGUGUUUCACUUAGAAUUUAAGAUCUGAAGACCUAGCAUUUUUCAAAUUCAGAUGCAACCUUUGCUGGCUUGCAUCUCAAGCUGACCUACCUGAAACAGCUAUUUAUGCGGGUUUCAACCUCUUGGUGAAAAUCUCUGCUACACAGGGCUGUAAGGUGAAAUUCAUCUUUGUAGGAGACAUUGCAAGCACCCUUCCAGAGGUUGUGUGGUACAUGCUAUUGAUAAUAUACAUCCCAAAAUCGCUCUAGUGUUUCCUACAGGAUGCCCAUGCCAUAGAAGCUUCUCCGCCAGGCGACCCUCUUGGGAAAUGCUGCAAGGAGGCUGUUGCAUCUCUCUGCAACACAUGGUUCGGUGUGAAUAUUUGGCAAAAUUUAUUCUCUGAAAGAGUGGUGAGGCAGUGGCACAGGCUGCCCGGGGAGGUGGUGGGUUCUCCAUCCCAGGAGAUGUGUAAGAAAUGUGGAGACGUGGCACUUGGGGUCAUGGUUUAGUGGGCAUGAUGGUGAUGGGUUGAUGGUUGGACUUGGUGAUCUUUUCCAACCUUAAUCACUCUAUAACUCAGUGAUACUAAUCAAACAAAACUAAUAGUUCUUAAGUAAGUGAUUGCCGCGGUUAGCUGCUUCAGAGCUGUCCCAGCCACAACCGCAGCUGAUCACGAGGUACAAGUUGGGCUUCCCGCUUCUCCUUCGUCCAGGGAUCCCCGAGGUAACAGAGCAGCGCGGCAGGUCUCGCGAGAGCGGCUGACGUGCAGUGCCAGGGCAACGGCUCUGCAUUCUCUCCUCUUCCUUGCAAAAGCCUCGGGGGGAGAGGAGGAGUCAGGGUGUGCGAUUCACGUGGGCCGUUCAGACGAGGAGAAACGGAAAGGCCAUGGAAAGGGCUACAGCAGAUCCAAGGUUGCAGAGGUUUCGUGUGUGUUGCUGCUGGACACCUGAAGGAAAUGACAGAAGGAAAGGACUGUUCCAGGGAAUUAGUUGCUUUGUGUCCCAGCUGGAGGAAAAGAGGAAAGGGAGUCGGAGUCACUGCACACUCCUGUUGCUUGAGGAGACCCUUGGCCAGUCCACCACCUCCACUGACCUCUUCUCCAGAAAGUGUAAAAAUAACGAUAUUGUUCUUUUGAGGGAGAAGUAUGAUGGAAGACUGAAAUAACCUUGUGGCACUUAACUGAAUAUUGCCCUGAGGAAGGUUGAGUGCUGGAUGGGACAAAUUUCUAAAGAGGCAAAGAAGAAGAACAAAUACUGAGACAUAAAGGCUCACAUUCCUGAAUGCCGAGGACAUAUUCUCACAACUGCAUAUGACUGAGAGUAACGGGUGACAGACAGAUGGUACCAUCCAGAAAGCCUUUCUCAAAGCAACAGCCAAGUUAAAAAUGGAACUGCUCUAGAAGCCAGAAGAAAAAUAAAAUCUGCUUAUUAACAGCUAUAAUUUCAGAGUUAGACAUUUGGUA